rnacentral:rRNA from 1 species
CCUAUGGGGGGCAGCAGUCGCGAAAACUUCACAAUGGAGGCAACUCCGAUGAGGGAAUUCCUAGUGCCAAUGCAUUUUGUGUUGGCUUUUCUUCAGCGUAGAUAACUGUUGGAAUAAGGGCUGGGUAAGACGGGUGCCAGCCGCCGCGGUAAUACCCGCGGCCCAAGUGGUGGUCGAUAUUAUUGAGUCUAAAACGUUCGUAGCCGGUUCAAUAAAUCUCUGGGUAAAUCGGAGGGCUUAACCUUCCGAAUUCCGGAGAGACUGUUGAACUUGGGACCGGGAGAGGCAAGAGGUACUUCUGGGGUAGGGGUAAAAUCCUGUAAUCCUAGAAGGACCACCGGUGGCGAAGGCGUCUUGCUAGAACGGAUCCGACGGUGAGGGACGAAGCCCUGGGGCGCAAACGGGAUUAGAUACCCCAGUAGUCC